rnacentral:rRNA from 1 species
AGCAUUAGCGGAGCUUGCUCCCUCGAUGUUAGCGGCGGACGGGUGAGUAACACGUGGGUAACCUGCCUGUAAGACUGGGAUAACUCCGGGAAACCGGGGCUAAUACCGGAUGCUUGUUUGAACCGCAUGGUUCAAACAUAAAAGGUGGCUUCGGCUACCACUUACAGAUGGACCCGCGGCGCAUUAGCUAGUUGGUGAGGUAAUGGCUCACCAAGGCAACGAUGCGUAGCCGACCUGAGAGGGUGAUCGGCCACACUGGGACUGAGACACGGCCCAGACUCCUACGGGAGGCAGCAGUAGGGAAUCUUCCGCAAUGGACGAAAGUCUGACGGAGCAACGCCGCGUGAGUGAUGAAGGUUUUCGGAUCGUAAAGCUCUGUUGUUAGGGAAGAACAAGUACCGUUCGAAUAGGGCGGUACCUUGACGGUACCUAACCAGAAAGCCACGGCUAACUACGUGCCAGCAGCCGCGGUAAUACGUAGGUGGCAAGCGUUGUCCGGAAUUAUUGGGCGUAAAGGGCUCGCAGGCGGUUCCUUAAGUCUGAUGUGAAAGCCCCCGGCUCAACCGGGGAGGGUCAUUGGAAACUGGGGAACUUGAGUGCAGAAGAGGAGAGUGGAAUUCCACGUGUAGCGGUGAAAUGCGUAGAGAUGUGGAGGAACACCAGUGGCGAAGGCGACUCUCUGGUCUGUAACUGACGCUGAGGAGCGAAAGCGUGGGGAGCGAACAGGAUUAGAUACCCUGGUAGUCCACGCCGUAACGAUGAGUGCUAAGU